GGGAGGGGCGGCCCCGCCUCCGCCGCCCGCCCCCUGGUUCUCGGCGUUGACUGCUUACUAAGCCUUGCAACACCGGGUUCCGGGAAGACCGCGCCUCACUGGAGGCCUUGACCCCGGGCGGGAACGCGGAGGUCGCCAGGGCGCCUGCGCAAACCUCGAGGCCCGCUGUCCGCCCUUCCUCUUAGCGGCAGUGGGAGGGCACUCUGGGCGCUCUUGGCCCUGGGGGCGGGCUGGGGGGCUGGAGGCCACGUCACGGACUGGGGAGCCUGGGGGAACGGUGUCGGGGAGGCUAAGUGGGGAAGGAAUGAACACUCUCCGAGCGGGUCAAGCCAUUUCCUUUGUGCAGAGCUUGCCUGGUGGCGCAGACGUGAAAGCGUCUGCCUCCAAUGCGGGAGACCGGGGUUCGAUCUCCAGGUCGGGAAGAUCCUCUGGAAAAGGGAACGGCUUCUUCCUAUGUCCAUGGGAUUUCCCAAGCAAGAAUUACUGGAGUCGUUUGCCAUCUGGGUAGGUGUGUCCAGAAUUAAGACUAGGCACGUAGAGAGCUGACUCAUUUGCAAAGACCCUGAUGCUGGGAAAGAUUGAAGGCGGGAGGAGAAGGGGAUGACAGAGGAUGAGAUGGUUGGAUGGCAUCACCGACUGGAUGGACAUGAGUUUGAGUAAACUCUGGGAUUUGGUGAUGGACAGGGAGGCCUGGCGUGCUGCAGUCCAUGGGGUCACAGAGUCGGACACGACUGAGCGACUGAACUGAUGUAAAGAGCUCGUUUUUGGGGGGACGACCUGGGUGCGAACGUGGUUACCUACUGGCGAGGAUCCAGAGGAUGGCCUUGGGAUGCUGUCUGGAACAGAGGUCUGUAAGCUCUUUUGGUCGUCUGCCCUCGUAGUUCAGUCCAUAAGUCGUGUCCCGCUUGUUGCGAUCCCAUGGACUGCAGCACCAAACUUUUAAUCCAAGAUUAAGUACCUUAAUAAUAGAUUAUGCACAUUAUAAAAAUAAAAGGGAAAAUAUAAAGGAUGAGUGAUGAAAUAAGCAGUCAAAGAUGUAGCUGUUAAUUCUAACAAUCAAUUUAAUUGUAAGGUAAAAUGAGUUUUUGUAAAGAACUUUGCUCUUGAGUGUGGCCUUGUAAACAACAGGUAUAAUUUAGAGGGGCUUCCCUAGUGACUCAGAGUUAGGAGACCACCAGCAAUGCAGGAGACCUGGGUUCAAGCCGUGGGGGCUGCCACUCCAGUGUGCUUGCCUGCGAAGUCCUAACACAUAAUUUAAAUACCAUGAAAUUCACUCAUUCCAAGUGCACAGUGAUUUUUAGUGAAUCUGUCUAGUUGUUAGGCCUAUUUUUUAAAAACUUCGUAUUAGUACUCUGUGAUUCAUAAAUUUUUAGGUUUGAUUCCAAGUAUGUCAGUGUUUGCUUCAGUGAGGUUGUAGAUGGAAAAAUACCCGGUGAGAACAUGUGGAUCUAAAAGGAAGAAGGAAGUUCUUGGUUGCAUUUAUUAAUCAUACUCUCAUUGAAAUCUAUGACAAUGACUCUUUGACUUACAGUUUACAUUAAAAGUUUUAUUUCCUGCUGUUCAAAAGUUGUUUUUACAAACUAGUUGGAAUAGAACAGUGGGCCCAAAACAUCUCAUGAACGGAAAUAUUUCAUUUGAAGUCUUUUAAAAUAUGUUGAAAAACUUCCCUCCACUUUUGUGGGCAGCUAGAGGUUUUUAUAAAGCUAUAAAGAAAGCUAAGCACUGAAGAAUUGAUGCUUUUGAACUGUGAUAUUGGGGAAGACUCUUGAGAGUCCCUUGGACUGCAAGGAGAUCAGUCCUGAAUAUUCAUUGGAAGGACUGAUGCUGAAGCUGAAACUCCAAUACUUUGGCCACCUGAUGUGAAGAACUGACUCCUUGGAAGAGAGCCUGUUGCUGGGAAAGACUGAAGGUGGGAGGAGAAGGGGACCACAGAGGAUGAGAUGGUUGGAUGGCAUCACCGACUCUAUGGACAUGAGUUUGAGCGAGCUUAGGGAGUUGCUGAUGGACAGGGAAGGUUGGUGUGCUGCAGUCCAUGGGGUCGCAAAGUUGGACAAAACUGAGUGACUGAACUGAUAGAGGUUUUUUAGAUGCACAUAACAUUUGGCAAUGAGAAUCACAUUCAAAUGGAAAUAUUUUCAAAUACAUUUUUAAAUGCAAGAAUUAUAUUUAGUGAAUACCUAUAGAGUUUCUUUUGAUUUUCAUUUUUAUACAAUAAAAACAAUUUUAGGGGAUUUAAUGCUUUGUUUUUCAGUAUUGCCACAUGACAUGCUAAUGUUUUCCACUUGUUAAAGAAAGGUCAAUCAUAUUUUAUAAAACUACAAUUCACCUUUAAGUUGACAGUACUUGCAUGGCACAGAAGACUUUCAUGGUCUUUCCCAUCUUAAUACAAUAACUGUAAAGUUUGAAUUGUAUUUUAAUAAAAUUGAAUUAAAAAACA
ensembl:lncRNA